rnacentral:lncRNA from 1 species
ACUAACUUAGCCAUGGCAUCACAGACUCUAGCCUUUAUUCUACCCUAUUCUCACAGGGGUUGCCAAGCACAGCUGACAGAACUUGAGGCACCUAGGGGAAGAGACAGACAAAUUGUUGUACCCCAUCUCCUCACUGCCUUCCCAGUGGAUUGGCACACAGAUGAAUUCAUUCAUUUUCAAGAUUCUUCAUGGAAUAUGAUCGAG